rnacentral:rRNA from 1 species
AUUGAACGCUGGCGGCAGGCUUAACACAUGCAAGUCGAGCGGAGAUGAGGUGCUUGCACCUUAUCUUAGCGGCGGACGGGUGAGUAAUGCUUAGGAAUCUGCCUAUUAGUGGGGGACAACAUUCCGAAAGGAAUGCUAAUACCGCAUACGUCCUACGGGAGAAAGCAGGGGAUCUUCGGACCUUGCGCUAAUAGAUGAGCCUAAGUCGGAUUAGCUAGUUGGUGGGGUAAAGGCCUACCAAGGCGACGAUCUGUAGCGGGUCUGAGAGGAUGAUCCGCCAGACUGGGACUGAGACACGGCCCAGAAUCCUACGGGAGGCAGCAGUGGGGAAUAUUGGACAAUGGGGGAAACCCUGAUCCAGCCAUGCCGCGUGUGUGAAGAAGGCCUUAUGGUUGUAAAGCACUUUAAGCGAGGAGGAGGCUACUGAGACUAAUACUCUUGGAUAGUGGACGUUACUCGCAGAAUAAGCACCGGCUAACUCUGUGCCAGCCGCCGCCGUAA